UGAGGAAUAUUGGUCAAUGGUCGCAAGACUGAACCAGCCAUGCCGCGUGCAGGAAGGCGGUCCUAUGGAUUGUAAACUGCUUUUAUACAGGAAGAAACCCUCCCACGUGUGGGAGCUUGACGGUACUGUAGGAAUAAGGAUCGGCUAACUCCGUGCCAGCAGCCGCGGUAAUACGGAGGAUCCAAGCGUUAUCCGGAAUCAUUGGGUUUAAAGGGGUCCGUAGGCGGUCUUAUAAGUCAGCGGUGAAAGCCCAUCGCUCAACGAUGGAACUGCCAUUGAUACUGUAAGACUUGAAUGCUUAGGAAGUAACUAGAAUAUGUAGUGUAGCGGUGAAAUGCUUAGAUAUUACAUGGAAUACCAAUUGCGAAGGCAGGUUACUACUAAGUGAUCGACGCUGAUGGACGAAGCGUGGGGAGCGAACAGGAUUAGAUAUCCUGGUAGUCCACGCCGUAAACGAUGGAUACUAGCUGUUCGGCGCAAGUUGAGUGGCUAAGCGAAAGUGAUAAGUAUCCCACCUGGGGAGUACGCACGC
rnacentral:rRNA from 1 species